AAUUUAAAUUAUUCUAUAUAUUUUCGUAUUCUCCAGUAGGAGAAUAUACUCUGUUACUUUGGUCUUUAAUUAUCUCAAAUUUUAAAGUGACCAUGACUAGCUAUAAUGUGGUAAUAGCAGGUUCGGUGGCUAUUUUUUAAUUGGUAACUUUUUUUUUCUAUUUUGCAGUGCUUGGACCUGAACCUAGGACCUCACGCAUGCUAGUGGAUGAGAGUUCUGAAGAUGACUCUUUAACCAGGUUUUCUGACAAACCUGAUCCUGAUGAUUCCUGGCCUACGUCAGAGGAGGAUGACUAUAAUUUUGAUAACAAGAAUGUCCCUAAAAUAAACCUAACUGAGCUAUGGGCUGCUGCUCAGCAAUCCAGGAAAAAUCAAGCAAAAUAUAGCACUGGGGAACCAGGAAACAGAACCUUGCUUGAUAACAGUAUUUCUGAUAGUGAAAACAAAGAUGUGGUUGAAACCCUUCCUAAAACAUCCGUCAAUGUCCAGAGCUUUUCUCAGUCUUCCUUUUUAUCACCGUCACCUGAGCCAAAAGUAGGCUCUUUUCUAAAAUAGUCUUCCCCAUGCUUUUAGCCACAUAUUAUCCUAGAAAGAUAGGGCCAUAAGAUCAUAAUAGAAAACAAGUAGAAUAAGAGAGAUUUACGUACAGAAUUGAGGUCUGUAAAAGUUGAUGGGAUUAAAAUAUUCUUGGGUAUGUCAUUUUAGAAUGAAAGUAUUAGAAAACAAUAAAAACAAUGAGUGUGAAGCUGAGAUUGAGAAGUCUCAUUUACAAGGCAAGGUAAGAUUUCAUAAUAAGACUGAGUAAGAGUCAGAAUCAGAUAUUAUAAAAACAAGGGUUAAAUGACAGUCGAAUCUCUAUUAUAGGUUAGAAAUUACAUACUUUUAAAUUACCUGUAAUUGAUUUUAAAGAACUGAAAAUGUGAUCUUUAUUUUUGCUAAAUUCAGUGAAGUGAUAUCUCCUAUUUAAUCCUGUGAAUCUUAUAUUGGGAGAUUAUAGAAAACAUUAUCUUCUAUUUAAUCCUGCAAAUCUUAUAUUCAGAGAUUAUAAUAUAGAGAACAUUGUCAGUGACCCCUGCAGUGGGUCUCUGUCUCCUGUGAGACAAAUACAUUGCCUGCAAGAUAGGAAAGAGAUAGAGAACAAAAGACACAGACCCAGAGGCUUGAGAGAAGAAGCUUGGGCUGAUGUAAGCUGCCCUGGGCAGCAAAGACCCAAGGCAUCAGGGCCAUCCAGGGUUUAUUCCUUACACGUGUGGGAAGGAGGGGACCUGGGCAGGGCUCAGGACACCUGCUGGUAACAGGUAUGGCAGGCAGGGGCGCUAGCAUAUCUUACUGAAGAGAACAAAUGGUUAACUCAGGGAGGAAGAAUUUAGUUGGAGUCACUUGACCUUGGCUGCAAGUGAACUCAUCCAAGCCCUGCUACUUGAUGGAGUUAAGCGUUGGUAGCAGCUAUUAUUAGCAAAGGAGCAAUACCAGCCCCAACUGUGCUAUCUGACAUGCCCAUUUGAGUCACGUAAGGCUUCAGUCAGACUCCUAAGAUAUUACAGCCGAAUUAUAGAGGGGCAAGAAGCUUAUGCCACGUAUAGCCUGCUAAUACUGGGCAGAAUUAUCUGCUACAGUAAAUAAUGCAAAAUGAAAUCCAUUUGAAACCUUACUAAACUUAUUAUGAAUUAUUAAUAUUUGAGCUUUCAUUUUUAUGGUUUCUAGUUUAACUUAGUGCUUGGUGUAUCUUUAUUUAACAUAUUACUGUUGAUGUAUAAUCUUGGCAAAUGCUUUAGAUCUUCUUGAGAAUAAAGACAAAAUAAAUAA
rnacentral:lncRNA from 1 species